rnacentral:lncRNA from 1 species
UAUUAUUGUUUCAAUUACAUCAGCUUAUCACCAUCAGAGAACCACCAACAGAAUAAUACACACGCACACAUUUUACUAUAUUUCUAUCUAUUACAAGUACAGAUCAGUUUUUGUAAAUAGAAAUGAAUGAAAAUGAACAGAAUUGAAACCCUAAGUGCUCUAUGUGUGUUUUGUGCGUGUGACUGGAAUUUGGGGGGGUGAGAGCAGCCGGCGGCUGCUCGCGGCCGGAGGCGGCGCGGCGGCAGUCGCCGCCUUUUUCCUUUGUCUGUCUGAAACGAGAGAAAGAUGGUUAGGGCUGCUGUAAAAAAAAAAAAAAGAGAGAGAAGAGAAGGUAGAACAGGGGAGGGAGAGAGAGAGAUAGGAGGGAGGACUUAUCUUCUCCGGUGACGACGACGCGGCGGCAUCGGCAGCGGCGACGCGGCGGCGGAAGCACCGAGCUGUUCCUGGUCGGCCGGAAAAGAGGAAAAGAGGGGGAGCUCAGAUCUGGAGCCUACCUUCCCGGCGAUGCAAGGCUCGGCCUCCACCGCGAUUCCAGCCAGACGAACGACGGAGGAGGCGACGGACGGCGGCCGAGCUCCUUCACGCAGACGAUCCGGCGAGGGUAGUGGACGGCGAGAGAGGGAUGCGCCGGCAGGGGUAGCCUGCUGUCCGGCCACAUGGGAGUCCGAGGAGAGGAGCGGCGGAUGGCGUCUGUGGUCGCCGAGCAGACGGCGAGCGCGAGAACAGUGAGAGAGAGACGAUGAGUGAGAUGAGAGGGAGAGGGGAGAGUGCACGGCGAGGCGGCGCGCCGGAGGCGGCGCCGCACUCGACCGACGUGAGAGGAGGAGGCAGGAGAGCCGAGAGGGAGAGAGAGAGUGUAGAGUGAGCUGAGUGUGUGUGCUUGUGUGUGAUGUGUGUGUUUUGUAUAUGUUAUAUGUGUGUUAUAGAAUUAGGGUUAAUAUUUAGGAUUUAUUAUUUAUUUGUUUGGGCCGAAAUUUUAUAAAAAGAGGAUGGGCCGAUUUUUAUUUAAAUAAUGAUGGGCCGAUUUUAUUUUAAUUCUGCUGGGCCUUUUUGCUUUUAAAUUGAUGGGUUUUUAUUUAUUAGUUGUGUAGGCCCAAUUUUAAUUAAGUUUUGAGCUGUUGAUUUAAAUAUAGGCCUACGAAUUUUGGCCUUAAUUCUUAAAAAAAAAAAUGUUUGAAUUUUCACUAAAUUAUUUAGUGAAUUUAAAUCUCUUGAUUUAAAUUUUAAUAUUUGAAGUUGGGAUUAUUUAUUCUAAAUGAAGUCCAUUCUAUUAUUUAAAUUAUUAAUGGACUUUAAAGCAAAUAUUUUGGGAUUAAGCCCCAUUUAUUACAUGAUAAAAUUAUUUUCAAAGCUUACGAGUAUGGAUUUUUUUUUAAAUGGUUAAAAUGUUUUAUUUCAUCUCAAUGGAUUUUAAAAUGUUUUAUUAUUUAUAAAUGAAUAAUGGAAUUUCUUAUUUAUUUACAAUGAUAGAAAAAAAAUGUUUCUUUAAAAGAUUAAAUUAUAUAGUAUCAUAUAAUGGAAUUAAAAUGUCUAUUAGAAUGUUAUGUAAAAUAUUGAUGUGAAUUGUGUUAUAGAAUGAUUAAGUAUAUGAUUUACUUUAUCAAAUGAGCUUGGGAUUUAAUUGAGAUAUUAAAUUGCUAAGCAUGUGUUUAUAAAUGAUUUAUUUAUUUAAGUGAUGAAAAUGUGCGAAGUAUGAGAAAGCAUGAUUUAUAAUGAUUAAAUUUUCAGGGUAAUAAUAUAUAGCUUGUUCUUAAUUGAUGGAGUACUUGACUAAAUGACGGGUGUAGAAGGAAGUUAUGGAUUAUGUACAUGUUGAUGUUCGAACAAAUGGGUUCGAACCUAUAUGAUAGUUACAUGAUAAUUGGUUACAUUUUAUUGAUUGAAUGAAACGAGAUUAAUAUGGAUGCUAGAACCCUAAAACAUUAAAAGAUACCCUAGGCACGUAGAAUUAGACUUUGUCUUAUGACAAUUUCUUCACGAACUUAUCGACUCUUCAUCAAUGAAGGUCCGGGCGACAGAAAGUGAAGCAGAAGAAGAAACGACUCCACGCCAGCUUUAAGAACAAUUGAGGUGGGCAUUAUUUUAUUAUUACGUAUAUAGAGAUCCCCUGCGUGACGUAGGCCUCAUAUGCGAAUAUAUAUGCAUGAUAUGUUUUGACUAUUUAUUCAGUUCUUAUGAAAUGCUUAUAUGUUUAAUGCCCUUUAUGAAAAUGAAAAUGUUAUGAAAAUGAAAUGUUUAUGAAAUGAUUGACUGCCAAAAUGUUUAUGUUUUUAUAUGUAUCCUAUCUGUGUUGGUUCGCCAACUUUAAAGGAAAUCCAAUUGGGAUCCUAUGCUAGACAAAGGUCGCUAGCUAGGGUUAACGUGUACACUCAUGGAGACCGCGAGUCGCUUGCGACCGGUCUUGGCGUCCGUGGUAAGGAGGCCUCCUUCCCGGCGCGUGACAGAAAGGACAGAUAUGGAUCAUAUAGACUGAAAAUGGGAUGCAUCCACCUUUAUGAAAAUGAACGAAAUGUUUUAGUAAGCGCAGGUCAUUUAUGAAAACCCCUGUGUGUUACUGUUAUGGCAGUUCAAUUUAUAUAUGUAUGCAUGUUGUAUUUUCGGCUUAUGUCACUGAGUAUUUUUAUACUCAGCCCUGCAUGUAUUUCUAAAUGUGCAGGUUGAGCAGGCGAUGGAAUGGAUUGGUGUUGAGCGGAUUUCCCUUUUGAUGUUUAUGUAAUGAAACCUUGAGUAUGCAUCUCCAUAUGCAUAACUCACACGUUUUUCCGCUGCAAACACUCUGAAUUUGUUAUCGUAUUGUGGAACUUAUUACUUCUUCAUUUUGUUUAACUUUCAUUUGGGGUUUAGUCGUUAUGGCUGGCUCAUUUGUUAAUUACCCAAGUGGUUAUAUAUAUAUAUACCACUAGUUUGUUGUUAUUAAUGUUGGUUAUUUAGUAAAUCCCUUUUAAAUUUCCAUUUCUUAUUGUUCACCCAAGUCAUAACCCCGGUUAACCCGUCAUUGGGAUAGUGGGCUGUGACAGAGUGGUAUCAGAGCAGUUCGUUUGCUCUGGCCCUAGAAACCAUUUUCUAAAAAGUCAUGUCUAGUUUGAUUCACUAGACAUAUGUGGGAUCAUACGACACCGCUCAACACUCCAUUGCAUCGUGCUCAAUCAAGGAAAAAGGUAACUGCAGUUACAGCGUUUUAAAGAUGUUAUUGUUCUAAACUGUUUCAUGAAAAUGUUUAUAUAAAGAGCAUGCUAUGAUGAAAUGUUGAAUGUUUUGCCUUUCAUUGAAAUGUUGAAUGUUUUGCCUUUCAUGGCAUAUCAUUGCAGUUAUGAUGUUAUGAUAAGAGAAGAAUGAUAGAGAAUUGACACAUGCUUUCCCCAGAAAACAUAGAUUGCUAUAAGUUGCAUGAUCACUAUUCUAAAAGAACAUAGACUGCUGGAUUAGUAGGAUAUCUCUACAAUCUAGAUUCUUAAAGUGAUGAUGUAGAAGAAUGAAAGAGAACUUAGAGCAUUUCAGCUCCCACAAGAAACAAUGGUUCUUUUGAACUACAAAGAGGAAUGAAAAGACAUGUACGCGUUGAAGGAAAAACACGGGAUGAUGAUACAAGACGAAUUCAAGGCAAACGCUGCAUCAAGGGUUUGAGCAUAGUCUCUACGUUCAAAUGUUCACACGCGAUGGAACACCGAAUCGACUUUUAGUACACGAUAGAUUUUAAGAACAGUAUGCUUUGCCUAUAUAUAUGUAUAUAUUUGUGUACAUGUUAUACGUGGGGGUUUGAGUUCAAUGGGACAUAGAACUUUAAAUUAAGCUUUUGGUUUGCCAGUACGAACUUGAGUUUUAUUAUUAUGAAUAGUUGUCCACGGCUCUCUAAGUUCGGGAUGAUGUUUCCCGUGUGACUGGAAGGUGAUGAUGUUGGACCUAGCCAGUCCACAUGAUCCAAAUAUCAGUAGACGUAUUUUGGGUUGAAAACCCAUGUGUUUCAACUUUCGGUUGAAAAGCCAGAUGAGUUUUUACUCUAGAUCAUUUUGUUCGACCUAGUAGUUACUCCUUUCUACCAUCUGGUUAUUCGUUUGAGUUUCUCAACAAAUUUUUUUCUGCACCACUUUGUUUUGAUAUCGUUCAAGAAUUGAGCCUUACAAUUGUUGAGUUGUCCUAGUACCCUCUUGUGAUCAAUAAGGAUUUAGAUGUUUUGUUAUGAUGCUUUCAUGAUUAAAUCAAGAGGAAUAUGUUAUGAAUUGAGGUAAGGAAUAUACUGAGGAUCUUUUAUUUUUGAAGCACAGAAUGCCUCCCAGAAGAGCCCCAAGAAACAAUGUGGGAACCGCAAACGAACCCCCACGAAGGGUUGAGGAACUUUUUCUUAAACAGAGCCCGCCAACAUUCAACGGGACCGGCAACCCGACUGAUGCCGAAAUCUGGAUUAGAGCAAUGGAAAGGAUUUUCGACUUUCUUUACUGUUCUGACCAAGAGAGACUCUCUUGUGUUGCAUUCCAACUAACUGGGUCGGCAGAUUUUUGGUGGGAAACCAAGAAGAGGGCAAUGACCCUCGAACAAUUGGAAAACCUGACUUGGGAAGACUUCAAGACGGAGAUCUACGAUAAAUACAUUCCCAAGAGCUACAGAAAGAAGAAAGAGACGGAGUUUUUCAAUCUGAAACAAAACAAGAUGUCCGUGACGGAAUACGAUCGCGCUUUCUGCGACAUGUCUCGCUAUGCCCCUCAUCUGAUCGACACUGAUGAAAAGAUGGCCGAGAAGUUUCGUUCAGGCCUUAGGCAUGAGAUCAAGAUGGCGCUUGCUGGUCAUGGUAAUCUCACCCACUCUAAGGCACUUAGCAGAGCCCUGGAUGUUGAAGCAGCCAUGCCUGAAGACCGCCCAACCCAGACUCAAGCUUCGGGAAACAACGAUCGUGGGAAGAGAAAAUGGGAUGGCAACAACAACAAUAAUAGGGGUUACUACAACAACCAAGAUAACAAGAGGCCAUGGCAAGGGAACAUGAUGCCACAAAGGUAAUGGCAAGGACGACCAGUCAAUCCAGGAUCAGCUGGAAACAAUCAGGGCCAGCUCAGGGCACCUUUGUGUCCCAAAUGCUCCAAGUCACAUCACGACAUAUGCUUGGCUGGCAGCAAUACCUGCUUUAAGUGUGGCCAGAAGGGCCAUUUUGCCAGAGACUGCCAAGGAAAACCUCAAGGAGGAAUGAGAGGGCCAAAUCAGUCGGGCCAAGUACAACCACUCAGGGCUAUUCAAGGCCAACAACUACUCUACCCACCACCACAGCAACAACAUCGACCUGCGAUACGUCCACCGCAAAUUCCACAGGCAAGAGCCUAUGCAUUGCACAAGAAUAAGCAAGGAAACAACCAAGGGAAUUUGGCAGGUAUGGGCACAUUACUUGACACACCUGUUAUACUUCUGUUCGACACGGGUGCCUCGCAUUCUUUUAUUGCAAGUGUAUGUGUAAAAACUUUAAAGCUCCAACCUGAAAAGACUAAUCAGGACUUGAGAAUUUCUUCACCAAUAGGAGGAAUAGCAGUAGUAACACAUGCUUGCUCGAACCUAGAACUGACCAUAGGAUCGUUUAAGGUUAUAGCAAACAACUUGCAUGUUAUAUCGAUGGAGGACGUUGAUAUAAUCCUGGGAAUGGACUGGCUAGCGGAGAACUAUGCCACGAUAUUGUGCCAAGAGCGGAAAAUCGGUUUCAACUUUCCAGGAAGGGACGCUUUGAGUUUCCACGGAAUAUGCAGGAGGAACAGAGUGCCGACUAUUUCAGCUUUACAGGCAAGGAAGAUGAUGAACAAGAAAGACUGCCAAGCCUUCCUCGUAUACCUGAACGGGGGAAUUGAGACCGAAAAGACAAUGGAAGAUGUAGAGAUCGUGCGGGAUUUUCAAGAUGUUUUCCCAGAAAAUUUGCCAGGAUUACCACCUGACAGACAAGUAGAAUUCACCAUCGAUCUAGAGCCAGGAGCGGCGCCGGUAUCAAAAGCACCGUACAGAAUGGGCCCGAAGGAAUUGGAAGAGUUGAAAAUCCAGUUACAAGAGUUACUGGACCUAGGCUUCAUCAGGCCUAGUGUGUCCCCAUGGGGAGCGCCGGUGCUGUUUGUCAAGAGAAAGAUGGAACCUUGAGAUUGUGCAUCGAUUAUCGAGAGCUGAACAAGCUAACGCUUAAGACAAGUAUCCAUUGCCCAGAAUUGAUGAUUUAUUCGACCAACUCAAGGGCGCGAGUGUUUUCUCCAAAAUCGAUUUGAAGUCUGGGUAUCAUCAGUUAAAGGUUAGACAUGAAGAUAUACCCAAAACGGCUUUCCGAACAAGAUAUGGUCACUACGAGUUCGUAGUUGUACCGUUCGGACUAACAAAUGCANUAAGUUAAGUAAAAAAAAAAAAAAAAAAAAAAAACUAGAAGGCAUGGCAGAUAAGAUUCAUAAAUUUAUCAGUUUCUCAGAUUGAAAAGAAGGAAGCAAAUAUUACAAAACAAUGAGGUUCGAGAUCACAGCAGUUUAACAGUGAUCAAUCAGGACUGUCAUUGAAGAAAUUGCAUUUAUCAUUUCAACCAACAACUUUUGCAGGUUCCAGCUAAGGAUAGCAUAUGAUGUGUUAUGAAAUGAAAGUAAAAAGAAAGGUGCGAAGUUAGUAAUGUCUUGAGAAGCAGUAAAAACAACCUCUCCUAAAAGAAUCAUGAGAUAGGAAGUAUAUAAAUAUAGCCACAUGAAUUUACGGUAAUUACGACACAUGAUCAUUCAUGUGAUAGGAAGCAUGUACUGUUAAAUUGAAUAGGGGAACUAUAGAAUGCAAACAAUCAUAGAUGAAGGAAUAGCUAAGACGAUACUGACCAUCUCCUCUUCUUGUUGACGCCUUAAUUCAGAUUUCUGGCGAUGACGUGCACGCAAAAUGUCUUGUAACCUGUUGAGAUCAUUUCCAAGUAUAGCUUGUGCUAACUCCGGAUCCCUCUAUCAGUUCAGAUAGCCACAGUAAGCAUCAGCAGCAAAUCUAACUGUUAUUAAUUUUAGAUAUUUUUGGAUGCAAACAUACCAAGAAUCAUAAAACCUAAAAACAAACAUGGAAUAUUUACAAUGAAGCCAAUCACCAGAAGGGGUGCAAAUAUGCCAAGAUUGGGUAAUCUUUAUCAUUUUCAAGUUGUACAUUGUCAGGUUUACAUCAAGAGCAGGGCCACAAGGGAUAUUUUUUUCAAUGAAGCACUUUAUUUGGUUUCCCGAUCAUUAUACCUGAAACAGUUGUGCCAUCAAAUUUGAAUCACUGCGCAAUUGCUGUUGGAAAGCUGAGGGAUUUACAGCGGAUCCAUCGGGAUUGAAGCCCACAGCUUCGCUUGAAGGUGCCCCAGCUCUAUUAGAGAUAACAGGAACAGCAAAAACCCAUUAAUUCCAAGGUAACACUUUUAUUCCCAUAUACUCCCAUCCUUAGAACAAAACUAUGGUUUUGCCAAAAAAAAAUUCUUUUUUUUUUUGGGGGGGGUAAGAAGAGGGGUAGAAAAAAGUAAAACUGAUGAGAAAGCAAGUAAUCAACACUACAGCAUUAUAUCCAAACAACAAUACCACGUACAACUUUAUAGAAACUUUCCUAAAUAGUAAAUCCCAAUGCCAUAAAUAUUAAAACUUCUGGAAUUCUCCUGAUAUAGAAUGCAGUACUCCAAGUUCUAAAGAGAAACCUUGAACCAGAAGACUGGGUGGCGUUCGGAACCAUCAUAACCAAAUCUCCAUCAGCAAUAGAGAGAGCACUCAAUUUCUCAGAAUUCCUCAUUUCCUUUCCAUUAUGUAGCAAUUGUUGUUGCUGCAGCGGCACCUGAGUCUGUUCAUAUACAUUGAAUCGCACGCAAUUUCAAAUGAAGAACCGCAAAAUAUCCAAAAGCCAAGCAAUAUUAGAAAGAAAAAAAUACUCAUCCCACCUCAACUUCAAGCAGAGCUUUCAAGUUCUCAACCUGUUAAUAAUGCAUGUAAAAACGAAAAAGAAAAAAUCAUUAAUGAUACUUCACAAAAUUGAGGGGAUUUAAAAAAAAAGAAUUAUUUCAUCAACCAAACCUAGGGUUCAGAAAGUUAGGGCAAAUUACCGAUUCGUCGCGAUCGACUUCUAGCGUGACGAUUUGCUCGUCGGUGGUCAUGACAGUGAUCUUCAUCUUUUCCGGCACGAUUUAAUUCGAUUGAAUUGAGGUUCCUCGACGAAUGAGAUUGCGCUAUCCAAAAUUAAUAGUAUUAAGUUAUGUAUUAACGAGAGGAAGCUUUAGAUUUUCUCCUACAGCAUUAGCGGAUACUUUACUACUGCCGAAAGUUAUCUUCGUCACCGUUGACUGAUGGCUUUCUAGGAAAUUGGUCGGUUUACUUCUUCAAAUAUUUUCCUCGGCGGUAACUUUUCGGCUGCGGUAAAACCUGUUGUUGACAAAUUUUGAUUGCGAGGACGACUUUCUUCUCUUUUAUAUCACCACCAUUAAUUACUUGGGUUACAAUUACAAAAUAUCGAAUCUAUAUAAUCUAUAAUAAUAUACUCCCUCCGUCCCGGCCAAGACGCUACAUUUAUUUUUGGGCACGGGAUUUAAGGAGUUGUAGAUUAAUGUUUUAAGUGUGUAAUAAUAAAGUGAUAAAGUAGGAGAGAGAAAGUGAUAAAGUAAGGAAGAGAAUGUAAUAAAGUGAUAAAGUAGGAGAGAGAAAGUGAUAAAGUAAGAAAGAGAAGAUAAUAAAGUGAUAAAGUAGGAGAGAGAAUUUAAUAAAGAAAUAUUUAAUUAGUGUUAAUUAAGUGUUAAAAUUUCCUAUUUUUGCCAAAUAUAGAAAUGUAGCAUCUUCGUUGGGACGGCCCAAAAAGGAAUAUGUAGCAUCUUGGGCGGGACGGAGGGAGUAUUAAAAGAUAAAGUUUAAUUUGAAAUUAAUUAAAAAUAUCAAAUUAAAGAUUAUGACAAAAGCUUUAAUUUGAUAUAUAUUUUAUUUAAAUAUUAGAUUUAAAAUAGAAAAUUUAUAUUUAUUUAAAGAUAAAAACAUAAGAAAAUUAUCUCUCCUCUCUUUCAUUUUUUUUUUCUUUUAACUUAUUUCUAUUUUCUUAAUUUUUUAUUUUGUUCAUAUUAUCAAUUUUUUAUUGUGAAUUUUUCUUUAUUUUUCUACUUUUUCUAUAUUAAGCUCAAAUAUAUUAGCUUAAAAUUAUAUUUUUUAUUAUAUUUAUAAGGAUUGAGUAGCAAUUACACCCCUAACAUAGACACGUCCAUGGCGUUUAGCCCCCUACACUCGACAUUAGAUCAAGCAAGCUUCUAAUGUCCCAAUUUCGGUGCAAUUAAGCCCUCCCCUAAUGCCCGUUUAACUCCGUUAAGUAUUUUAAUUUUUUUAAAUUUAAUCGUGGGAAAUAGAAACUUAUAAAUUUAUUUGUGCGAAUAGUCAAAACGAUGCUCUAGGCCAAGCGGUAAAUAGUUAAUGCUUAAAGUCAAGCGGCCUUUAAAUUUCUUUAUUUAAUAUUGUUAAUUUAUCAACAAAAAAAAGAGUAAUAUGUCAUAUCCCAGUUUUUAAUCACUGAUUUAAGAUUUAAUAAUUAGGGUUCGGCAUCCAUUAAUAAUAAAACUGAUUUGAUUUAUCUGAUGUGCUUAAUUCUUAUUGUUAUUUAAAUCCAUUUGAGAUUUAAAGGAUCUUUAUAAAUAUGGUGCACAAGUUUAAUUAGUGGUUUGAGCGGCUUGUAAAGUGAAUUAAAUCUACGUAUUUAAUUUAUACACAAAUAAUAAGCAGAAGCCAGUAUUUGAUUGCAAACACGCGAUUAAAUAGUAGAUGCACUGAGUAACCAAGACCUAAAGAUUUAUUAUUAUUUACAAUUAGAACUUCCACCACCACUAUCAAUCAAUGCAGUAAUUGAUUUUUUUGUAAGUACAGGAAGAAAUCCUUGCAUAUAAGCUCACUAUCUAAUUUGCUGGCUUUAAGAGGAAGAUUAUGAUUAAGAUAGUGUCUUCCACUAUCUAAUUAUAUUAUCAACUCCUUUUCUUUAACUUUGCUAAAGCCAUGCUUUCCACCUCUUCAACCACCACCCUUUGCUCCCCACCAAUACACCUAACUCUCCACACACUUCAUUUUUUUUUAUUUCUCCACCACUACAUUACAUAUUCAGCACUACAUCUUGCAGAUUCCUCAUUAAGAAAUCCUCUCUCACUAAUCUUCUAAAUUACCAUUUUCUUUCCUCCUACUCCUCACGGUCCUUCAAAGAAAUUAUCAAGUUUGUUUCAAGUUCCAAAUCAAGAAGGUAGGUAAUUAAAUGUCUUACUCUUCAUUAAUAUUCCAGUUUCAAUUUCAAAAAAAAAUUCAUUCUUACUUUGUGAUCAACAAAUUGCAGAAUCGAACUAUUGCCAACACCACCCCUCAUAUCAAGGUUACCUCCUACUUUACUUUCUCCAUACAUUCAUUUGUUAAAUUACAAAACUAUGAUUCAAAUGAAAACAGAUCGAACACACACAUCCAUUACCACUUCUUUUAGACUAUUAUUGUUUCAAUUACAUCAGCUUAUCACCAUCAGAGAACCACCAACAGAAUAAUACACACGCACACAUUUUACUAUAUUCUCUAAUCUAUUACAUGUACAAUCAGUUUUUGUAAAUAGAAAUGAAUGAAAAUGAACAGAAUUGAAACCCUAAGUGCUCUAUGUGUGUUUUGUGCGUGUGACUGGAAUUUGGGGGGGUGAGAGCAGCCGGCGGCUGCUCGCGGCCGGAGGCGGCGCGGCGGCAGUCGCCGCCUUUUUCCUUUGUCUGUCUGAAACGAGAGAGAG